rnacentral:rRNA from 1 species
UACGUAGGGUGCAAGCGUUGUCCGGAAUUAUUGGGCGUAAAGAGCUCGUAGGCGGUCUGUCACGUCGGCUGUGAAAACCCGGGGCUCAACCCCGGGCCUGCAGUCGAUACGGGCAGACUAGAGUGCGGUAGGGGAGACUGGAAUUCCUGGUGUAGCGGUGAAAUGCGCAGAUAUCAGGAGGAACACCGGUGGCGAAGGCGGGUCUCUGGGCCGUAACUGACGCUGAGGAGCGAAAGCGUGGGGAGCGAACGGG